GAGAAGAGUGGACGAACGGUAGUCAGUAUGCCCCGAAUUAUCCGGGCUACACGCGGGCUACAAUGGUCAGGACAAUGGGUAUCAACACCGAAAGGUGAAGGCAAUCUCCUAAACCUGUCCUUAGUUCGGAUUGUGGGCUGCAACUCGCCCACAUGAAGCUGGAAUCUGUAGUAAUCGCGUCUCAACAUGGCGCGGUGAAUAUGUCCCUGCUCCUU
rnacentral:rRNA from 1 species